CCUACGGGAGGCAGCAGUGGGGAAUCUUGGACAAUGGGCGAAAGCCUGAUCCAGCCAUGCCGCGUGAGUGACGAAGGCCUUAGGGUUGUAAAGCUCUUUUGCCGGGGACGAUAAUGACGGUACCCGGAGAAUAAGUCCCGGCUAACUUCGUGCCAGCAGCCGCGGUAAU
rnacentral:rRNA from 1 species